rnacentral:sRNA from 18 species
GUCAAUUACCCCACGACUAAAGUCGGGGCUUGUCUUAACAAACAGCCCUAGUUGAUUAGACUAAGCACUUAUGUUAUGUGCUACGUUACUUGUAAAUAUAUAGUUACCAAGGAAUGUUUUACCUAGUUCCUUGCUCUAAG